rnacentral:lncRNA from 8 species
AACCCCUAUGUCCCUUGACACCUGAUGGGGAGAUAAUGAUCUCCUCUUCAUCUGUUGAUGACCUCCUGACCCUAAAGAGUGAUGUCAUGUCCGAGGCUAAGAGCGAUGAUGCCUCCCGUCCAAUUGAACCUGAGAUGUUCUCUCUAACAAACUUCCUGAAGUCUCACCCGUGAGUCCUGCUGUGUACCUCAUUAUGUGCAGAAAAAAUAUAAUCUAUCUAAACACUAUUUUAAGUUGCCAAUGAUUCCUGGUGUUUGUUUGUUUGUUUUCCAGUAAGAGAAAGCUUAUCAGGAAAUUCCUCAAACAAAUGGUAAGUCCCCCAUUUCUUCUGCUUUCAAAGGUGGAGUGAUCAUGUGAAAAAACGAUCUUGUAACAUAAAAACUACUAGCUGUCAGUUUGUUAUUUUCUGUUUCUCUUUCUAAGAACGUGACAAUAGGCGACCUGGACGAGAUCAUCGAGUGGGUGGUGUGUGUCUCCAAUGAGGUGUUCCUCCCAGUGAUGGCUCUGAUCCGGACCUCCAGUCCAGAGUCGUCCACCUCAUCCCGAUGGGGGUCAGGUGAGCUCCAGAUCAUCUCCAGGGAGUUCCACCAGCGGAGUUCUGAGCCGAAGGGAAGGCUCCUGGGUGGGCAGCCGCCCACUCCCCCUUCUGAGACCGACAAGGAGCUUCAGGGCGUAGCAGAUCUGUCUGUGAGUAACAUCCUGAAAAGGGCCCAGGAGGACCUCUUCUUUUCUGGUGAGGAUGACCUGGAGAACACCCAUCCAGGCAUCACUCUGACCGAAGAGAGCCUCUCCAGCAUCUUCUCAGAGUUGUUCAGGGACGCCUGUGAGAGUGCCCAGGAGGCCACCAGACAGAUCCACCACAUGAGGUCUGGAAGAGGCAACAACAGCCGGAAUGGGAGAUGCCCUGGGUUAUCACAGGGAUCGAGCAGGUCCAACAUGCUAGAUUUGGGAGAACUGGGGUCAGUGAGGAGGCCCAAGGGAAGCGACGUCCAUAAAGUCCUUAGCGAGGGGUCCCUCCCUGUCUUUGCCCUGCUUGGGGAGAGGCCAGGGGAAGUUGGGGAGACCAGCAGCCCUGCUGGGGAGAUGGACGCGACCCAGACUGCCAGCACUCCCAGCAUUCCCCAGUCUGGGCAUGGCAGCAGAAGAAGUAGCCAGACCACUGCUCCCAUCACCGGCCACAGAGAGGCAGGAGUCACAGCCAGUAACAUCUUUGAUGUUAUUUUUCAUCUGACGCACUCUGACACUGACCGGAAACACCACCAGGAGUUCAGCAGUGAGGAUGAUGUUUCACUGAAUGACAUCAUGGACAUGAAGUUAACCCCACCAGUGGAGCCCCUGGGGCAGAUCCUGUCCUCAUGGAAGCUGGUCAACAGGAUCUUCAGGGGGAAGGUCCACUACUUUGGGAAGGAGCUCAUCUGCAAGGUGUAUCAGAUGCUUCUGGACACCGGUAUGGGCAGGAGGCCAAUGGCCCGCCAGAGCAGGUCCGAGCCCAUCCUGAAAGACCUGGCUGCCAAACGUAGGCUCUCCGAUGAAUUCUUCACAGACGUGCUGUACAUGUUCAUCCAACGGGCCAUUAAGAAUCUGCUGGAGAACUUCUUGGGUCUGCCGACCACCCCACCGGGUAGAGACAUUAUGUGGAAUGACAACUUCAACUGGAUGUAUAGGGACGGCUGGGGGGACACCCCCACAUCCAGCAAGGACGAGUUGUGGGACAGCGACUCCACCUGGUCAAGUGAGCUUGGAGAGGAGGAGGGGGCAGAGUCCCGUGGGAGGUGGGCCGCUCUGUUGGAGAAGGGCAGCUUCCUGACCCUCCAGUCCUCCAGCUCCCUCUCCGAUGACAACAAGGAGGCACUAGGGGCCGUCUACCAGGUCCUGACCACCAGGGUGGGAGACAUCCUGAACAGUACCUGCAACGACGAUUACAAGGCCAGGCUCAUCAUCCAGAAAGGAUUGGAUUCCGGUGCCAGGGAAAGGUUCCCUGACUCUCCGUGUUCCUCUUCACCCAAGGACGAAGAGGAGGUGGUUGUGAGUGGCAUGACUGUCUCAUACCCUAAACCCUCCACCUCAACCCAGGCAGCAUGGGCAGCUCCUGCCCAGACUCUGGACGUUUUUCUGCCCAGACCCUGCCUGGAUGAAGAAGAGGUAGUCCCCAGCACCUCCAUGAAGGACGACUCUGUGACGACCACCCAUGCAGCACGGGCAGCUCCUUACCAGACCCUGGAAGAAGAGGUGGGGGGAGCUGAGGUCUCCGAGAUGAGUGACAGCUCCCUGAUGCCCACCAAGAACAGGCAGGACCCCCUGCAGAAUAUUCCCUCCCUCCUACCAGGCAAGGAGGACAUCCUCCUUCGGUCCACUCCCUGGACCACCGUCAUGAGCCCCCAGACCCUGAAGUUUAUUCUCCACGGCAUCAUGUGCCAACUGGAGGCCUCAGAGUCCCCCCAGACAAGGAGGGCCAAUGACCCCUUCAGGCUGAUGAAGGAUCUCUUUGUGGAGGUCCAGCAUGCCCUGAAGUAUGCUGACAUCUCUGUCGUCUUUGGCCUGGAGGAGAGCAUCCAAUUCAGUGGGGAGGAUGCGGUGAAGGCCAUCGUGAAGACUGCGGCUAAAAGAUUGUCCCUGCGUUCGGACGCCAACCGGGCUCAACUGUGUGCCGCACGCUCUGGUAGUGAGGGAGCCAUCGGGUGCAUGGCGGACACCAUCACACAAGUCAUAGAUGACUAUUCCGAGGACUGGAGUUCCGACGGCCAUUUUGGAGCCAGGAGGAGCCAUGCUAGUGGGAGAUCAUACUCCUCAACCUCCUCAAGGAGUGACGUCACCCUCACCGAGGAGCUCCUGGCUUGGAAGGAAACCCUAGAAGGGGACCUAGAGGAGAUGGCUGAUGACAUCACUGGUUUGGAAAAGACCAGUGUAAGCUCAGCCAUCUCUGAGAAGUCCCAGGUAAUUAGCUACCUUUCUGAAAGCACCAAGCCCAUCAGCAGCGCCCUCUCCACAGACCUCGAGGACAUCACCUCCACACAGGUGAGACAGACAAGAACCAGUAGAUCGUUUAGUUAUUUGGCCUGUUUGAUUGUGAGGCAUCGACUCAUAUCUGUUUCUCUCUCUACUAAGAAGAAAGAGAAGGAAGAGGCUAUGGAGAAAGAAGUGAGGAAGUCAGGGAAGAAGAAGCGAGGAAAUAACAAGGAUCAGAAGAAGAACAAGGUGUCUCCUCUUGGCAAUGAUAGUACUGUUGCUGCAGAUGAGCCUAAGAAAAAACAGGCUCUCCUCCCGCGAAUCACAGCCGCCCUGGCAAAACUAUUUUGCUUCCCCUGCAAAAAAAAAAUCAAAAAGUAA